rnacentral:rRNA from 1 species
UUCCUUGUCGGGUAAGUUCCGACCUGCACGAAUGGUGUAACGAUCUGGGCACUGUCUCAGCCACGAGCUCGGUGAAAUUGUAGUCUCGGUGAAGAUGCCGGGUACCCGCAAUGGGACGAAAAGACCCCGUGAACCUUCACUACAGCUUAGUAUUGACUUCGGGCAAUUGAUGUGUAGGAUAGGUGGGAGACAUUGAAGCGGUCACGCUAGU